GACGAACGCUGGCGGCGUGCCUAAUACAUGCAAGUAGAACGCUGAAGAGAGGAGCUUGCUCUUCUUGGAUGAGUUGCGAACGGGUGAGUAACGCGUAGGUAACCUGCCUUGUAGCGGGGGAUAACUAUUGGAAACGAUAGCUAAUACCGCAUAACAAUGGAUGACACAUGGCAUUUAUUUGAAAGGGGCAAUUGCUCCACUACAAGAUGGACCUGCGUUGUAUUAGCUAGUAGGUGAGGUAAUGGCUCACCUAGGCGACGAUACAUAGCCGACCUGAGAGGGUGAGCGGCCACACUGGGAGAGAGACACCGCCCAGAAUGCGACGGGAGUCAGCAGUAGGGAAUCUUCGGCAAUGGGGGCAACCCUGACCGAGCAACGCCGCGUGAGUGAAGAAGGUUUUCGGAUCGUAAAGCUCUGUUUUAAGUCAAGAACGGGUGUGAGAGUGAAAAGUUCACACUGUGACGGUAGCUGAACAGAAAGGGACGGCUAACUACGUG
rnacentral:rRNA from 1 species